rnacentral:tRNA from 1 species
GGAUUGUGGCUCAGCGGUAGAGUGCUCGCCUAGCACAUGCGAGGCGCUGGGCUCGAUCCUCAGCACCA